AGAGAGAGACAUGCGCGCAUAUCAAUAAGCGGAGGAAAAGAAACUAACAAGGAUUCCCUUAGUAACGGCGAGUGAAGCGGGAAGAGCUCAAAUUUGAAAUCUUCAAGGUUUUACCUUGACGAAUUGUAGUUUAAAGAAGUGUUUUCUGCUGAAGUUUUGGUAAAAGUUCUUUGGAAUAGGACAUCAUAGAGGGUGAGAAUCCCGUAUUUGACCAUUAUUUUCAGCUUUGUGAUACACUUUCAAAGAGUCGGAUUGUUUGGGAAUGCAGGUCCAAGAUGGGUGGUAAAUUUCAUCUAAAGCUAAAUAUUGGCGAGAGACCGAUAGCGAUACCAAAGUACCGUGAGGGAAAGAUGAAAGGAACUUUGAAAAGAGAGUUAAACAGUACGUGAAAUUGUCAAAAGGGAAGCGUUUGACACCAGUGUUGUUUUCUCGAAAAUCAAUUAAAAAUGGCUCGAUUUUGUAUUGCUUGAGACCUUAAAAGCUCACUGUACAUUUUUCGUGUCUUUUUUAAUGCACUUUUCGUUUAACAAGUCAACAUCAGUUUCUUUUGUUGUAAAAGGGUCAUUGGAAGGUGGCUUUCUUUUCGGAGAAAGUGUUUAUAGCCUUUGGCCUCUGCAAUCGGAAGAGACUGAGGUCUGCAGCGUAGACUCUUCGGGGUUAGAUACAUUUGUGCUAAGUUAUAGCUUUUUAUAGACAACUUGUUGACUAUAAUUAGUCUUGUAGCUUACUCGCUUAUGCUAUUUUACCUACGCUUAGGAUGUUGAAGAUGUAGCACAUCAU
rnacentral:rRNA from 1 species